rnacentral:rRNA from 1 species
GAAAGACCCCGUGAACCUUUACUGUAGGCUGAUAUUGGGCUCGUGUAUUGACUGUGUAGGAUAGGUGGGAGGCUUCGAACCUCGGGCGCCAGCUCGAGGGGAGCCGUUGGUGAAAUACCACCCUUUUAAUGCAUAAGUUCUAACGCUGAUUCCCGUGAAUCCGGGCAGCGGACAGUGUCAGUUGGGCAGUUUGACUGGGGCGGUCUCCUCCUAAAGAGUAACGGAGGAGCCCAAUUGGUACCCUCAGCCUGGUUGGCAAUCAGGCAUCGAGCGUAAAGGUAGAAGGGUGCUAAACUGCGAGACUGAUAGGUCGAGCAGGUACGAAAGUAGGGCUUAGUGAUCCGGUGGUCCCGCAUGGAAGGGCCAUCGCUCAACAGAUAAAAGGUACUCCGGGGAUAACAGGCUUAUC